rnacentral:rRNA from 1 species
GACGUAGGGCGCGAGCGUUGUCCGGAUUUAUUGGGCGUAAAGAGCUCGUAGGCGGCUUGUCGCGUCGACUGUGAAAACCCGCGGCUCAACUGCGGGCCUGCAGCCGAUACGGGCAGGCUAGAGUCCGGAAGAGGAGACUGGAAUUCCCGGUGUAGCGGUGGAAUGCGCAGAUAUCGGGAGGAGCACCCGUGGCGAAGGCGGGUCUCUGGGACGGUACUGACGCUGAGACGCGAAAGCGUGGGGAGCGAACAGG